UGGGGAAUCUUAGACAAUGGGCGCAAGCCUGAUCUAGCCAUGCCGCGUGAGUGAUGAAGGCCUUAGGGUCGUAAAGCUCUUUCGCCAGGGAUGAUAAUGACAGUACCUGGUAAAGAAACCCCGGCUAACUCCGUGCCAGCAGCCGCGGUAAUACGGAGGGGGUUAGCGUUGUUCGGAAUUACUGGGCGUAAAGCGCACGUAGGCGGAUCAGAAAGUUGGGGGUGAAAUCCCAGGGCUCAACCCUGGAACUGCCUCCAAAACUCCUGGUCUUGAGUUCGAGAGAGGUGAGUGGAAUUCCGAGUGUAGAGGUGAAAUUCGUAGAUAUUCGGAGGAACACCAGUGGCGAAGGCGGCUCACUGGCUCGAUACUGACGCUGAGGUGCGAAAGUGUGGGGAGCAAACAGGAUUAGAUACCCUGGUAGUCCACACCGUAAACGAUGAAUGCCAGACGUCGGCAAGUAUACUUGUCGGUGUCACACCUAACGGAUUAAGCAUUCCGCCG
rnacentral:rRNA from 1 species